GCCAUGGUGGCUCAAUGGUUGAGCACUGGGCAGCUAACCAAAAAGUUGAUGGUUGCAGUCCACCCAGUGGCU
rnacentral:tRNA from 1 species